rnacentral:tRNA from 1 species
GGCCCCAUCGUCUAGUCAGGUCUAGGACACUGGAUUUUCAUUCCAAUAACAGGGGUUCGAAUCCCCUUGGGGUCA